rnacentral:rRNA from 1 species
GACGAACGCUGGCGGCGUGCUUAACACAUGCAAGUCGAACGGAAAGGCCCUGCUUUUGUGGGGUGCUCGAGUGGCGAACGGGUGAGUAACACGUGAGUAACCUGCCCUUGACUUUGGGAUAACUUCAGGAAACUGGGGCUAAUACCGGAUAGGAGCUCCUGCUGCAUGGUGGGGGUUGGAAAGUUUCGGCGGUUGGGGAUGGACUCGCGGCUUAUCAGCUUGUUGGUGGGGUAGUGGCUUACCAAGGAUUUGACGGGUAGCCGGCCUGAGAGGGUGACCGGCCACAUUGGGACUGGGGUGCGACCCAGAGGCAAACGGGCGGCAGGGGUGGAGGAUAGUGCGCACAGGGCGGAGGCAUGAAGGAACAACGCCGGGUGGGAGAUGGCGGCCUUCGGGUUAUAAACCGCUUUCGCCUAUGACGAAGCGUGAGUGACGGUAAUGAGGAAAGAGGCACCGCCAAACUACGU